rnacentral:tmRNA from 1 species
GGGGAUGUCAGGCAUCGAUUGGAAGUACUUUAAUAAUCUGUAUUUGCAAGUCGCAACUCGCACGAUACGCGGGAAAAAACACAAGUGCUAACACACUUUCUAGCAAGAUCCGAACUGCUUUUAGCGGUUUGAGUCUUGCGCCAGUUCUAGCAUAACGUCUAGAACCAUCCUUUAGCUUUCUCCUGAGGGGCUAAAAAGGGUGUCAUAUUUCAGGAUGCAUUUUCAAUGUCGUGCCAGGUUGAAAAUCAAGCUAACACUGGGGCUUUGGAUCUUUAAGAAAUUUGUCCGUUUUUAUUCUUAAAGUCCGAGAAAAAUAAACGGAAUAAGCUUGCUAAAUGAUAUGGAUUAUUCUUUCAAGACGCGGGUUCGAAUCCCGCCAUCUCCACCA